GUGCUCGCUUCAGCAGCAUAUAUACUAAAAUUGGAAUAAUACAGAGAAGAUUAGCACGGCCCCUGUUCAAGGAAGACGUGCAAGUUCGUGAAGUGUUCCAUAUUUGG
ensembl:snRNA U6 U6 spliceosomal RNA